CCCCUGACUCUCACAAUCCUAACUUUACAAAUCAAAGCUUCAUCCUAUUCCAUGAUUACUCAUUCAACAUGUCGGAACCGUAGCUCAGAUCCCUAAUUUCCCCCGAAAAACCUUAAACCCUAAAUUUUUGGUCAGGUUUGGUGUUCGAUCCUGAUAAGCAUUAUUCCAUGUUCCUUUAGGUUUGCUGGAGUUCUUGUAAGUGGUUGUACUUUAUGUUUAAGUUGUGUUUUGUACAGUUUGUGUUGUAUAAUAGGUUAAUUUGAUUGUAACUUUUGUCCAUUAAUAUUCACAUUUAAUCUCAAAGAAGCACACACAUGUGUGUAAUUAGAGAGUCUGAGAAAGAUACAGGGAGGAAUCAAGAGGCAGAGUGGCCACAACGGUGGCGUAUCGACAGAGCGGUGGUGGAGUCAGCAGAGUUGUGGCGGCGCCCCCUCAUUCAGAUAGGUGAAAUAAGAACCCGAGUAAACCCAGAAGACUCGCGGUCCUGAAGUUUUAUGUUCAAGGUUAUGUUAUUGGAAUCAUCAUCGAUAGUGGAAGUAAUGGUCAUUUCUUAGUAGAUGCACGAUGCGUGGGGUCUUAACAUCAGUAGUGUUUGAGAGGUGAAUGUCAACUCGGGGCUUUUAGCCUAUAUUAGCUUCUUUGGGCAGUGGGUGACUCAACUCGGGGACGAUGACGACGCUCAAAAGCACGAUGACCAAAAGAAUGAUGGCUGUUGUGCACCGGACCAAAAGAAGAAUGAAAGCGACUGUGCACCGGACCAUAGCGGCGAAUCAAAUUCCGAUCACAGGUCGGAGAUUUUAGUCAUUUUACAUUCAAUAUGAUGCUUGCUUGGGAAAUGCCUAGCCGCACUGAUGAAGAA